rnacentral:lncRNA from 1 species
GUAUCCCCCAAACCCUUCUGGAUCAUAAAUUUUCCUUGGACAGGGAACUCAUCCAUACUGCUCAUUGUUGCACCUCCUGGACUUUACCCUUCAUAACACUUGGCACAUAAGAAACCACAAAUUAUUUUUGGAUGAAGAAUGAAUGGGCUCCAUACAUCCUCUCUUCCUGUUUGGACCUCGGUCACUUGGCGGGUCCUGAAGCUCGAAUGAACGGUACUUCUUCACCAUGCAUCUUUUAGAAACUUGCUUUUCUUUCAGACUCUUUUUGAAUUUAGAUGUGAUUUAUUUACUACUUUAUUCCAUAUUUGUUUCUUCCACAUGCAUUUUUCCUUCAGAAUAUGGACCUGGAAAACAAAGAAGGUAGCACGUGAUCUUUUUGCUUUCAGGAAGUAUGGGACCACUUUAUUAUCGUCUUUUAAAGUUUUACUUAAAAUCGUCACCAAAAGCCCUCCAGGUUGUAAUUUCCUCAUUGGUAGAAUAAUUUCUUUUUAUAAAUCAAGAAAUUUCACUAGCAAGUCAUCUUUGAAGUACAUCAAUCUCCUUCUAUUCCUUCCUUCUAUCAUCUGCCAAAUAUUUGCUGACUGUUUGAUAUAAGCCAGGCUCUAUGCUAUGCACGUUGGUAUUUAUUGUCUCAAAAAGAUGUGUAUGCCUAUACUGAUUUACAAAAGUCAUGUAGAACCAGAACAGAAAAUUUGGGACAUAUACAAUACUGAAAAUAAAAAUGACAUGAUCACCACCAGAAAGAAUGUUUUUUGGUAUAUUCACUCAGUUUUUUAACAUAUACAUGCAUUUUCCAUAGCUGAAACAGUAAUUUACACACAAUUUUGUAAAGUUCUUUUUUCCCCUUUAGGUAUUUUCUUGUGUUCAUGAAAAAUACUUCAUUUUUAAGAGCUGCAUAGUUUAAUAGUUUGCUUAAGGAGCAUGUGUGCAUACUCACAAAGAGUCAGACAUGACCGAGACUUUCCCCUAAUUUUGGACUUUUUUGGUUGUUUAUAAUUUUUGACAUUAUGAAAAAGGGGACAGUGCACAAAUUUUUGCACUCAUCUCUGAUUAUUUCUAUCGAAUCCCUAGAUAUGGAAUUAUAGGGCUGGAGUAUACAAAUAUUUUUCCAGUAAAGUUAUAUCAACUUAUGUCCCAUCAAUAGUACAUAAAACUUUCCAUUUCAUUGCACUCCUGCCAGUACUAAAUAUUAGACUUAAAUUUUUUUCUAAUAUAAUAGAUGUGAAUAUUGCUUAUUAUUUUAAUUUUAAAUUACUGGAUAAUCCAAGCACUUUAAAAUACAAUUACAUGGGAACUCCCUAGUGGUCCAGUGUCUAAGACUCCAUGCCCUUAUCACUGAGGGCACAACUGUGAUCCCUGUUUGGUGAACUAAGAUCCCACAAGCCUCACGGUGUGGCCAAANNNNNNNNNNNNNNNNNNNNNNNNNNNNNNNNNNNNNNNNNNNNNNNNNNNNNNNNNNNNNNNNNNNNNNNNNNNNNNNNNNNNNNNNNNNNNNNNNNNNNNNNNNNNNNNNNNNNNNNNNNNNNNNNNNNNNNNNNNNNNNNNNNNNNNNNNNNNNNNNNNNNNNNNNNNNNNNNNNNNNNNNNNNNNNNNNNNUUGAUUUCAUAAAUCUGAAUCAGAUAUUGUGUGUACUCUUGUAUUGAGGAUGAAAUGAACUGCCAGAUUUGAUUUCUAUAGUUUUGUAAGUUUUUUUCUCUUUUCAAAUUUUGCUUACAAUAUUUUUACUUAGUUGUCAAAAUUUUAAAACUCUCAUGUAAUGUAGUCUACUGGUCAUUUCCUUUAUGAUUUUUUCAUUUCUUUUAUUCCCUCAUCUUGAGGUUACAUGAAUAUUUGCCUAAAUUUUCUAGUUUUACAGUUCUUUAAUGUAGCUGAAUUUUCUUUUAACACAUAAUGAAAGGUAUGAGCUCAACUUGAUUUUUUUUCAAAUUACUAGUCUUCUUAAGUCCAUUUAUUGAGGAUCUGUCCCUUUUUUAUUUAUUUUAGAUGACUCCAUCACAUAUUAAAAUCUACACUAUAUUGACCCAGUGUCUUUUUCUGGGUUAUUUACUCCAUUUUAUUAUCUAUAUCAUUCAAUAUAUACUACCAUUCUAUUUCUAUAUGCUGCUGCUGCUGCUGCUGCUAAGUCGCUUCAGUCGAGUCUGACUCUUCGCGACCCUAUGGACUGCAGCGUACUAGGCAGGCUCCUCCGCCCAUGGGAUUUUCCAGGCAAGAGUACUGACAACUGCCGUUGCCUUCUCCUUCCUGUAUGCUAACAUUCACUUUAUUAUUUACACUAUGUUUAACUACCAAGUGGGGAAAUUUCCAGUAUUUUUCUUCACUUUCAUUAUUUUCUUAACAUUUUUCAUCUGCUACUUGUUCAAGUAAAUUUUAAAAUAAUUUCGUUUUAGCCUCCUAAAGUAGGUUUAAUAGCUUCAUCAUACAAGUAAGAAACUGAGUCUCAAAAGGAAGACAUAGUUCAAGUUUACACAUAUUCUAAAUGGAAGAGGCAUAAAUCAAAAACAUGUCUUUUGGAGAAUUCCCUGCUGGUGGUCCAGUUGUUAGGAUUUGGUGUUCCCACUGCCAGGCCCGAGUUCAAUCCUGGUAGGAGAAAUAUGAUCCUUGCAAGCCGCACAGUGCAGCCAAAAAAAAAAAAGGAGAGAGAGAGAGAAGGAGAAUCAUGUCUUUUGAUAUCUCCCCUUUUAGCUCUAAAAUACUAUAAUUUUUUAGUAAAGAAAACUCUUGAAAUUUAUUUUCUGUUCUUUCCCAUUUCCCAUCUACCUCCCUCUCGUGGUCAUUACAGAUAUUGCAGUUUCUCAAGCCAAUUCACACAGUACUCAUUUUAAUACAAGAAAAAUUAUUAGCUUACAGUUUUAAAGUUUACUUAAAAGUUGUUAACUUACACAAAGGUAAUAAGAAUAAUCGUCUAAUAUUUGGGGCCGUGUAUCAUCGGUAUUUUCUUAGCAAAGACCAGCCUCAAAAGAAUUCAGUAAAAAGUCAAGUGAACAGAAAGCAAAGUUUCGUCAGUAUCAAAGAUUUUAAAGUAGUAAAAAUUGCAUAUCCACAACCCUCCAGAUGUUUCUUUGCUCUUUUCUCCAUUGAUGUUACCCAAGUACUUUUAAAUACAAAAAAAAAAGUACUUUUAAGAAUCUUUAAAUUCCCCCUCUAACCCAUUUUUUGCUUUCUUCAUUUUGUAUCCUUUCUCACCAUCUAACACCUUUGGGUAUGUUCAGUUGGGACAGAGGUAUGUGGACAGGGGUGCAGAGGACUCAGGUACUCAUGCUGGGCCCUGGCCAGUUCUGCACCAGCCCCAAAGAAGGGCAGCCUGCUUGAAAUUCCCACAAGGCUCGGGUCCCAGUUAGCAGGGCUGCCUUCAUCCCCUACUGCCUUGGUUGAAAUCUGUCUCAUUUUCUCCCUGUUCAUUUCUUGCUCCCUUCCCACCUUUUCUUGUUUGCCUUUUUCUUUUCCCUUUCUUCCUUCCUAAUCCCAUCAUCCUUCAGUUUCUUCCUCCUUAUAUUUCCUCUUCACCUGGAAGAAGAUACCAUGUAAAAUUUAAUUUGUAUGCACAACAUAAUGUGUACUUUAUAAUAACUAAGUUAAGCAUAUGCAUAUGCAUAAUAAAAGUUUAACCAAGCUAAGAAAAACAACCACCAGUAAAGAGGAAAAGAAAAAUUCUGGGAAGCACUUAUCAUAAUGUCUGUUUAAAAUCUGAAUUUAUGAAAGAUAGAGGUUGCCUAUAUUACCUCCCACCCGUGGCUAUUUAAUAUCUUUUUUACUAAGCCAAUAAAUGAUAAAUACAUUAACGUUUAACAAUAUGGUACAAAAGAGGAAAUAAAAAGAACAUGGACAGAAAGCUUAGGUGCAUUAUUUAAGGAGGAUUAAGGACUUAAGUCUCUUCUGGAUUUGGUUCAGAAAGAGGGGGUAAUAAUACUUGCCUAAUUAAGUAGUAAGUGGGGUAGAUUAAAGUGUUUGUAAACAUUAAUUAAAGAUGCAGGGAGUUAGAUGAGGCCAGUGUGUUAUUAGUGAAAAAGUUUUCUUCCCUUUAAUCAGGUACCUCCUCCUGGGAAGGGCAAAGAAAUGAUAUCAGGACUAAGGAAUUAAGGCUCAGCCCUAAGUGUCACCAGUGACUCAGUCAUCCUUUGCCAUCAACCACUUCCUUCCUUAGCUUUCUGUAAAAUGGGGAUAAGCACAAACAGCACUCUGCAAUACGAGUUUUUAUCAUAUCUGCCAUUUGAGUAUAUAUCAGACCCUGCAAUUAAUAAAACCCCAUAACUCUUGCAUUCUCCCUUCGUACAGAGCUGUCCCACCCCAUUAACUUCCACCAACAUUAAUUUCCACCAACUUACAAAAGCCUUCCACAACCAGCUAAUAACCUCAGUGAACAUUUCCAUGGUGAUAAAGGAGAAACGGCACCGAGCAAUAGGGUCAAAACCUCUUGGACGCGUUUCUUCGCCUCUUUGAAUGUCCGUUUUCCUCCUCUGUAAAAUGGAGAUGAGAAAUCAGGCGGCUGUUCUAAGGAUUUAAUGAAAUUAUGUGUGUCUAUUAAACGCCUUGUCGGAGGCUAAUAAGAAUUUGAUUCGUGAUAGUUAUUAUCGCUAAAUAUAAAAUAACCUCUUAAAGCUGACUAUAGGAGGAGGAAAAAAAUGUUUCGUUUCAUUCAGACUUUUAAGUGCAAAUCCCUAUGUUCCUCUGUGUAAUUCAGAGAUGGGGCUAGGGGUUCACUCAGAUCGGACCAAUUCAAACCUGGCACCGACACCAACGACCCCUGCGGGGAGGCGGCUGCCUGGCAGCACCGGCGCGGGGACUGGUCCCUUUAAAUGUCCCGGGCACGCGCCCUGUGAGUUUGGGG